GAGUGAACGAACCGCUGGUGUUCGGGUUGUGAUGCCAAUCGCAUUGCCCGGUAGCUAUGUUCGGACGGGAUAACCGCUGAAAGCAUCUAAGCGGGAAGCCUCCUUCAAGAUAAGAUCUCCCUCACCCUUUGAGGGUGCUAAAGGGCCGUGGAAGACCACCACGUUGAUAGGCUGGGUGUGGAAGCGUUGUGAGGCGUUGAGCUAACCAGUACUAAUGGCCCGUGAGGCUUGACCAUAUAACU
rnacentral:rRNA from 1 species